ACUGUCACCAAAAAAUAAAUAAAUAAAUAAAUAAAACACAAACAAACCAAAAAAAAAAAAAAAAAACACACAUACAGGUACAUGAUUAACUGAUAACCACUGAGGCAGUUUUUUGUCUGUCAAAACUGUCAAAACCAAACAACACAGAAGAUCUUCCUUUUUCACAUUCCUUUAUUGUUCUGGACCAUUCACAGGCACACACCUCCAGGUAAAGUUACUAGGAGAAACUUGACCUUGGUGCCAAAGCAUUCAUUACAGUCAGUACAAGAAGCCUCUGUUCGUUCUUCUAAGCUCUUUUGUGUUUGUUCAGUUUCAGUGAGAACAUGCCACCACUUUCAUAGAAAGAACGAAAGAAAGAAAGGUGAUGCCAUUAUUUUUUACUCUUUCAAGUCCUUGAAUGAUUUGAGCUAUGACAACAUGAGUCAAAUUCAGCACAACUAUCCCACAAUAGACAUUAUUGUGUUAGGAGAAUAGAAAGACACAAGGGGGUCAUCUGUCAGAAACUACUCCUUUGUUUAAUGAGAUUUGCUAUUAAGUUGUGAGAGGAAAAUUCUGAAAAUCAGGGGAAACAUUUUCAGAGCUGACCUGCAUUAGAGCUCCUAAAGUGAGUCAGCCAGACUGUGGGAUGCUUAGCCCAACUGCAGCACACACAGACGCCAGUUCAAUCUCACAAACUGAGCAGACAGCCUGAGCUGACCAGCUGCAUGAGUCAUGCUUGGCUCAUUCUGGUCCCAUUUACAGCUGAAGGGGUCACAAAGGCCUCUCGCCAGUUCCAUUACCGGGAAUGUUACUGAGCGAGAUUGUGGUGCGAUUCAUUCAUUGACUAAUUAGUGUUUAUAGAGUAAUUAAUGUUUAAUAGAGUCAUUGACAAAGAGGGGAGGAAAGAACAUGGGAAAUAUUUAAGUAUAAUUUAAAGAUUGCAAUACAGUUAUUACAAUGCAUUUAUUCAGCAAGGAUGCAUUAAAUUGAUCAAAUUGAUUCAAACUUUCUAUUUAUCAAAGAAUCCAGAAAAAAAGGUAUCACUGUUUCCUCAAACAUAUUAAACAGCACAACUGUUUUCAUCAUUGAUAAUAAUAUAAAAUGUUUCUUGUGCACCAAAUCAGCAUAUUGGAAUGAUUUCUGGAUCAUGUGACACUGACGACUAGAGUAAUGGCUGCUGAAAAUUUAGCUUUGCCAUCACAUAAUAAAUUACAGGAAUAAAUUACAUUUUAAAAUAUUAUAAAAUAGAAAACAAUUAUUUAAAUUGUACAAAUAUUUCACAAUAUUACUGACCCCAACAUUGUUGUGUUAUUUAUGCCAAGGAAACAAACAUAAUAGUCAAUAUAUGCCUGGAUUGUUGCAAUGAGGACAUGACAGUCAACCAAGCAAAGACAUCCUUUACACACUCAAUGUGCAUGUCCAAACAUUAAAUGUGUAAUGCAAACUAUGAGGAUAUGUAUGUUUUACUGAACCCGUCUCCCUCAGCCACUUUCCACAGGGUGCGUAGUUAGCGUGGGAAGGGCAGCUGCCUAUUCAUAUCCCUGGAAUCUGAGCACACAUGAUCAGAACAGGUAACAAAAACGCCUUCACGCUUCUCCGAAUUACACCAGCUGAAUGACUUAUCUUAUACCCAGACACCACGUGCACAGUGUUACAACAUUUAAAAAAAAAAAUGAAACCUAUGCAUUUAGAAAAUAUGGGUGAAUUUUCAUUACAUGCCGACAUCAACAAGUCUACCAAGCUAUAUUUUUCAAACACCAGAGAGGCCAGCAGCACCAGGAAGACCUCACAUCUCCCACUGUCUGGUCUCCUGCUUGCUGUGCUGCUUUAACACGCUCCAACAUGAUUCCUACAGCUGAGGGCCAAAAUUCCAGACCUAUCACCUUUAAAGAUUAUUUUACAUGAGAUGAAAAAUUAAAAAGGCAUCCAAGCACCAGUAGAAGGUAGGUUUGGAGGUAAAUAUCAAAACUUGACCCUGAGGUGAAGUGAAAACAGAAGUAAAACAUGAAGAUGAAUGAGGCAUCUUCAAGAAACUUAUAUUUGGCUUUUUUUUUCAUAUUAAGACAAAACCAAUACAUUAUCUUAAUCAUUUAUACUGUCCAUUUAGUGGGUAGAGAGUGCACAGCAUUUCCACUUGGAGUUUUAGGGCACCUUUCAAAUACAGUAGUGAUGGUUAGUCCUCCUGAAUACUAAAAGAGGCACUUGGUGAGCCAGCAAGCAGGAAGGCAGCGAGAUGACUCAAGCUCCUGACAGUGUUUUGCCACAUAGCAAUAGCUGAAAUAAUGUGUGCUUCUCACCCCCUUAGGGCUUGUUCACACAGAACAUGUUUUUUGCUGUUAAAAACACAAGAUGCAGGUCAGGAGAACGAAAAAGGUCUAGAAACGCCUUUUUUAAAAGUCAAACUUAUUUUAACUUGAGCGCCAUGUUUUUAGAAUGCCGUGUCAUGCGCGAGACGCUGCAAAAGAUGCGAGACGCAAGUGCAGUGGUUAAAGAUGUCUGUCUAGCAUGUUUACACUGAAAAAAAAAUGGAAAAGUAGCGCAGUGGAAUGAAAAACCGAAGUAAAUCUUUGUAUAUUGGAAUAUUACUGAUCACUCAGGUGUCACUUCAGGGAUAUGCCCUUAUGUUGUUGAAGUGUGGUUAUUUAAUAAAUUAAUAAUAAAUAACAAUAAAGCAAGAUACCCUGUUGAAAUAUGUGAAAUGUAUGAUUUAUUUAAACUGCAAAGGUAAAACAUAAGUUAAAAUAAUUAUGACAUAUGUGAAUGGGGAAGAGAAGAUUUUUCGACGAGAAAAACCGGGUCACAGGCUGGAGGAUGGACAAGCGAGGAAACGAGGAAGCAUCAAUAUGAGUAUUGAGAAGCACCCACAGAACCAUCUCGACAGUCAAGUGAGCACAGCACAAAAAGACAUGGCUAAUGAUGUCACAAUAGGGGUCUGUACUCCAAAAUCCUUUUCUAAGAGAUGGGAAAUUGGGGGCUUUCCAUAAUGAGGACAUUUUUGGACAACCACCAUGAGGAAGGAUUGUGCCACUCACACCAGAGAGAAGAGCUGUGUUAUUAGACACAGCUGGGUGGAGCCUGAAAGAAAUGUGGGAGAACUUGUCUUGUGUUGACAAAAAUUCCUCGGAAGAACUACAGUCAUGCUUACUCUUCACCAAGAGCAACUGUAGAUUCUACAUCUUUGUUACCUGAACAGCCAAUCAGAGUAAUCUCUCUCACCGACCGGCUCCACUGCUGAUUCAACAAGCAUGUCGCCGACGGGGGUCCGACUAGGUGCCAAAGAUGUGGAACAAAAACAAGACUGACAGAUGCUCAACUACAGCUUGACAUUUGGCCAAAGGCAGCUCUUACAGCCAAAGACUAUAGAAUAACACAAGAUGUGUCACUCGUAUUGUUUUGAAUGGGAGAAAGUGCAACGCGCAAUAUGGUGGAAUAAGUCCCGCCUUCUAAAUAAGAGCCAAUCGACAAUUGGUAAAGUCAUUGUGUCACUGCAGCAGCCAUUAGAAGCUCUGGUUGCUAUAGAAACAGUCAGACGUGCGCUUCCUAUAGAGAAGCGCACUUAGGACUGCACAUGCGCAUUAGCUUGAUCCAGCCUGAAAAGUAGUUUUUUGUCAUGAUUCGAGCAUUUAGAAACAAAAUUUAUGAGACAGUUGUUGUCAGAUUUCAUUGGUGAUUUCAAAUAUGAAAUUUAAUCAAAAGCUUGGCAAACAUCUUUGAAGAAUUUGAUGUUUCCCCAUUCAAAGAGAUAGGAGCUGCACUUGCAUGCCCAAUUCAGUAAUUCAGUAAUUCAGUGAAACUGUGCAUUAUUUUAUUUCACAUUUGAUUAUUCAAUGACUGUAGUAUUUCUUACUUGAAUGCUACUGUUAAAUAUCCCUACUGUACUUGAAAAAUUUAAAGCACUGUUUUUGUCA